rnacentral:rRNA from 1 species
AUUGAACGCUGGCGGCAGGCCUAACACAUGCAAGUCGAGCGGAUGAAGGGAGCUUUCUCCUGGAUUCAGCGGCGGACGGGUGAGUAAUGCCUAGGAAUCUGCCUGGUAGUGGGGGAUAACGUCCGGACACGGGCGCUAAUACCGCAUACGUCCUGAGGGAGAAAGUGGGGGAUCUUCGGACCUCACGCUAUCAGAUGAGCCUAGGUCGGAUUAGCUAGUUGGUGGGGUAAAGGCCUACCAAGGCGACGAUCCGUAACUGGUCUGAGAGGAUGAUCAGUCACACUGGAACUGAGACACGGUCCAGACUCCUACGGGAGGCAGCAGUGGGGAAUAUUGGACAAUGGGCGAAAGCCUGAUCCAGCCAUGCCGCGUGUGUGAAGAAGGUCUUCGGAUUGUAAAGCACUUUAAGUUGGGAGGAAGGGCAGUAAGUUAAUACCUUGCUGUUUUGACGUUACCAACAGAAUAAGCACCGGCUAACUUCGUG